GUUUUCUUCUUCUUGAUUCUUGUUCUUCACUCACCAUAUUCUCCCAUUCUCUAGAAAUUUCUCACGUCGACGCUCUUCCAUCUUCCUCGCACAUGGGUUGCGAGACAAGUCGACAACGAUGUAACUCGUCGAUGUCGACGAAGCUCCUUUGACGUUGGAUGAUGACCAGCACAGUGCGUCGCCACUAUUCAUACCGUUUUGAAGCUGACGACCUUGAUCGAUGUUGCUCUGUUCGGUUCCUCCGUGGGUUUCGUCAUCUUCGAAGUCGUUCAACACCUAACUAACUUUUGUCAUCAUUUAAGAAGCUGAAUCGCUACUAACCUUGUUCCUUCCAACUUCCUCUCGUCGGAUGUAAAAUUCGGGUCACUAUCCAGUUGCAAGGAGAAUCAAAAUUGGGUGUUGACACAAAUUUGGGCCAAAUUGAAGUGGAAAAAAUGUAUAUUCGUGGGGAUCUAGUCAUUUAUUGUAGCGGUCAAGGACCAAGCUUCUGUUGAGUUCCCCGUCAUUAAUUGUGGACUCUGAUUCUCUUUGAAUGUAUAUAGUAAAUUUUGUAUUCCUUCAUGGGGUAGUUGGAAGUAGCCAGAGUUACACUGUUAUGUGUGUUUUGAGAGAUUCUUAUUUGUACUGUAACUAUGUUAUAAAUAAUAUCUAGUUCGGAUAUGAACCUUGCUUGA